AAAGCGCAACUAUGUAACCCACUCAUGCCCUUACAUGAUAAAAAAAACAUCUAAAUUGUAAAGCAAAGUAAAGAUAUUGAACAUAGUAGUGUUUUGAUCACUUGUUUAUUUCGCUUGCAAUGUUGCGUAACCACGUGCAUUCCUUCACCCUAUCUCUUUGUAACAAUUCACAUUAUAAGAAUGUCCCGGAUUAAAAGUUCAAUUGUUGGAGCAACACCCACGAAAAAAAUUGUGAAAUUACUCUAUCAAAAGGUUUUGCACGCAUAAGAUGUACAAUAAAUUUAGUCUACACUAAGAUAACUUUUACCUACUUUUUUUUGUAAAUUUUAUGUAGUUUUUUGUACUUUUAAUAUGUUUUAAAUAGCUUUUAUAUUAAGAAUAAAAAAAUGAUAGAUAAACAUUUUAAAAGAUAAAAUGGUUAAUUUUAUUAGUAAGUUUAAGAAAUAAUUUUUAUUAAAAUGAAAAAUCGAUCACUAAAAAAGAGAUAAGUUAAAUUUGGUAUAUAUAUAAGAGUAACUUUUAAGAAUUUCGAGUUAAUCUUUAUCCAGUGUACUUGUAAAUAAGGAUUUGCGUGUACUUAAUAUUUUUGACACGCAAAUAAAACGUCAUUAAUUAAUUACUCAGAAAAUUCCAAAUUUCUGGCAAAUGUAUUUACUUAGAACAAUGACCCACUUCAUUCCCACGUCAGAAAGCGCAUGCGGCCACAAAGUAGUGAAUCAAACCAUUCUCUCUCUUUCUCUCCCCAACUCAGAACUCAGAUGACUGGAGAAGAAGAAAACCCCUUCUUCUUCCUCCAGUUUUCUCAAAAAAAAAUUAAAAAUUAACAAAUGGUAAACCACAUAAUAACAACAACAAUUCAAGCCAAAUCACAGCCAAAGUGACAGUCCCACCAUAAAUGAAAGCAAUUCCAGGUUCAGUCAGAGGGAUAGUAGAAGCCUCUUGUUUACAACCGAUUGACGUCAUCAAAACCCAAUUACAACUUGAUCUGGCGGAAAAUUACAAAGGGAUUCUUCAUUGUGGUAAAUAUGUGCCCACAUAAAUGGUGUCGUCAUAGAAUUCUGGUGGUGACACAAGAUUAGCGGUCGAUUAGCAACAUUCCCAAGCUGAAACCCCACAUCCGAAAUUCAAAACAAAGUCGGAUCCUUUUCUUCAUCAUUCAUCGUCUACCCAAUUGUACUUUUAUACCCAUUGGUGGUCCCUAUCACAUUUUCUCCUCACAUGUAAGGAGAAAAUGUGAGAGAGUUCACGGUGCACCCGUGUGCAUGUAUAUUGUUCUAUAAUUACUAACCGUCAAUGUUUCUCCUCUUACCCCGAGCUUAUUUUUUGUUUUUGAGGCUUAAUCUAGGAAAAUAAUAAUUGUAUAUUUAUAAAUGAAGUAAUCAUUCCCUUUUUUUGCAUUCAAUUUUAUUCAAUUUGUUAUUUAUUGUAAAAUACACAUAUAUGUUUAUAUAGAAAAUAUCUCUAUUAUAUAAGCCAGCUCCUGAGGGCUUUUUAGUAAAUUAACUUUUCGUGUCCCCCAAUAAAUUUACAAUAACACCCUUCCCUGUUUAACGUGUAUACCAGACCCUUCAAGUUUCUAACGCCCAAAACGUGAUUAAUGGCCCUAACCUUCCUUCCUUCCUUCCUCCCGUUUUCUCUCUCCUCCCUCGUGGAUCUUCUUCCUCUAAUCGUCUUCCACCAAACCCCAUUUUCCAUUCUAAACCCUAAAUAUUUCGUGUCUCUCUCACCGCAAACGAAGACUCUCUCUCAUCCGCCUCUCGCCGUCGCCAUCACCACCAGCAUCUGAUCUUCUGGAGAUCCGGUUCUUUCGAUUUCAAUUUUUUAAGAUUUGGGGAAGAAAUGGAGUUCCAUAUCACGCUCUUUCUCUCUCAGCUCCAUUGAUUGAAGAUCGAUUUCAAAUUUGUAAGAUUUGGGGUUUAAUCUUGCAAAGAAUUGUCCAGUCUCAAAGAUUUGGAAAAUGGUUGCUUGAAUUGAUUGGAAAUAAUGCCAUAAUUGUCAUGGAUGAUGCUGACACUAAGCUGGUUCGUUCUGUUGUCUUUGCGGCUGUUGGUGUACAGCUGGUCAGCGCUGUACAACCUGUCGUAGGCUGCUGCUUCAUGAAAGCGUAUAUGUGAAGGUGAUUGAGCAAUUGCUUGAUGUCUACGAACAACUGAAGAUAGGGGAAGAAGGGAAUUGAGGCGAUAUGAUCGUCAACUUCGUCAGGUCAUGGGUCGUUCAACACAAGCUUCGUGUCGUCGCGACCGAGCUCGAGUAUUCCGGCAAUAAUUUGAAAUGGCAAGCAGAAGGAUCUCUUCUUUCUUAUCUCGCUUACUUUCAACUUAUCUCACCUCUCCUGUUGGUCGAAGUUGAAGGAUGAUUCUAUUAUAUUUUUUGAGAGAAUAUCAUGUUAGGAAUUGAAAAAAGUUGAGGCGAUUAGCUUCGAGAAGAGCAGUGAUACGACUCCCUGUCAACUCAUCGCUUGAUGUAAUGGUUUUUGUUGUUGCUCAAUACCGUGAGAUGAAUGCUAACAGCAGCAAGAACACUGCAAAGAAGAUAUAUUCUUUUGCAGGAGACUGGGCUGGUCUAAAUUUAGAUACUUUACUUUUUGAUAUAUGUUGUUGGACUGGCACAAUAUUACCAUAAUGUUGUUGGACUUCUUUUAUAUGUUGUUGGACUUCUUUUAAAUUUUGGACUUCUAUUAUAUGUUGUUGGACUUCUUUUAUUUUUUGUUCCAAUAUCAUAAUGUUAGAAUGAAAGAAAUUGCUUGAUA